GUUUACUUCUUAGAAUUCUUAGAAAGAAAGUAUUUUAACAGAAAAAUAUUAAUAUUAUAUUUCUGGUCAAGGCAUUUUUUUAACAAUAAACAUGUAUUACAGGAAAGAGUUUUACUGAUGGUCAUUUGAAUCAAACAUUCUAUUAGAUGCAAUUUGAUGUGGAUACAAAAUGAUUCAAGUUAAAUAUGACUAACCUUGAUGAUAAUGUUAGUUAUGCAGUGUUGGGAAAGAAAUAGACGGAAUAGCCAAAAGUUACAACAAUGAAAUAUUAAUUUCUAAAAUU